CCUACGGGUGGCAGCAGUGGGGAAUAUUGCACAAUGGGCGCAAGCCUGAUGCAGCCAUGCCGCGUGUGUGAAGAAGGCCUUCGGGUUGUAAAGCACUUUCAGCGGGGAGGAAGGCGUUAAGGUUAAUAACCUUGGCGAUUGACGUUACCCGCAGAAGAAGCACCGGCUAACUCCGUGCCAGCAGCCGCGGUAAUACGGAGGGUGCAAGCGUUAAUCGGAAUUACUGGGCGUAAAGCGCACGCAGGCGGUCUGUCAAGUCGGAUGUGAAAUCCCCGGGCUCAACCUGGGAACUGCAUUCGAACUGGCAGGCUAGAGUCUUGUAGAGGGGGGUAGAAUUCCCGGGGUAGCGGUGAAAUGCGUAGAGACCUGGAGGAAUACCGGGGGCGAAGGCGGCCCCCUGGACAAAGACUGACGCUCAGGUGCGAAAGCGGUGGGAGCAAACAGGAUUAGAUACCCUUGUAGUC
rnacentral:rRNA from 1 species